GACGAACGCUGGCGGCGUGCUUAACACAUGCAAGUCGAACGGAAAGGCCCAGCUGUUGGCUGGUGCUCGAGUGGCGAACGGGUGAGUAACACGUGAGUAACCUGCCCUUGACUUGGGGAUAACUACAGGAAACUGGGGCUAAUAACGGAUAGGAGCGCCGGCUGCAUGGUGGGGGUUGGAAAGUUUCGGCGGUUGGGGAUGGACUCGCGGCUUAUCAGCUCGUUGGGGGGGUAGUGGCUUACCAAGGCUUUGACGGGUAGCCGGCCUGAGAGGGUGACCGGGCACAUUGGGACUGAGAUACGGACCAGACUCCUACGGGAGGCAGCAGUGGGGAAUAUUGCACAAUGGGGGGAAGCCUGAUGCAGAAACGCCGCGUGCGGGAUGAAGGCCUUCGGGUUGUAAACCGAUUUCACCUGUGACGAAGCGUGAUUGACGUUAAUGGCUAAAGAAGCACCGGCUAACUCCGUG
rnacentral:rRNA from 1 species